rnacentral:rRNA from 1 species
CCUACGGGAGGCAGCAGUGAGGAAUAUUGGUCAAUGGACGAGAGUCUGAACCAGCCAAGUAGCGUGAAGGAUGACUGCCCUAUGGGUUGUAAACUUCUUUUAUAUGGGAAUAAAAUGUUCCACGUGUGGGAUUUUGUAUGUACCAUAUGAAUAAGGAUCGGCGAACUACGUGCCAGCAGCCGCGGUAAUACGGAGGAUCCGAGCGUUAACCGGUUUUAUUGGGUUUAAAGGGAGCGUAGGUGGAUGGUUAAGUCAGUUGUGAAAGUUUGCGGCUCAACCGUAAAAUUGCAGUUGAAACUGGCAGUCUUGAGGACAGUAGAGGUGGGCGGAAUUCGUGGUGUAGCGGUGAAAUGCUUAGAUAUCACGAAGAACUCCGAUUGCGAAGGCAGUUCACUGGACUGCAACUGACACUGAGGCUCGAAAGUGUGGGUAUCAAACAGGAUUAGAUACCCCUGUAGU